rnacentral:misc_RNA from 1 species
GCUCUAGAGAACAACAGUUAUCCAAUAUGGCGUCCGUCAAAAUUUUACGUCAAGACUGAACACAUUCUAGGUGCACGCUCGGAAACAAAAUGACUUAGGAUUGUAAAAAUUGAAGAUACAAUAUAGGAAAGGUCACGUCGCAAAAUGUCGGCCACUGAGCUGUACACAAAGGGAGCUCGGGUAUGGAUCCCAGACUCAGAGGUUGUGUGGCGGGGCGCAGAACUUUUGGAAAAUUACACCGGGCAGAAAUCGGUCAAGAUCCAGUAUGAAGAAGGAGAGGGUACCGGAAUAUUCAAAGAAUCUGUACUGGAAAUCAAAGAUAAAACCAAACUUCCACAUUUACGAAAUCCUGACAUCCUCAUCGGAGAAAACGACCUGACCUCUCUCAGUUACCUUAACGAACCAGAAGUGCUGUAUAACCUGCAGGUCAGAUUUGCAGAUAGAAACAUCAUCUACACGUACUGUGGUAUCGUGUUGGUGGCCAUCAAUCCCUACGAGGAAGUGAACAUCUACAGCAAUGACAUCAUCCAGGCUUACAGCGGACAGGACAUGGGCGCCAUGGACCCCCAUAUCUUCGCCGUCGCUGAGGAGGCCUACAAACACAUGUCAAGGUUUGACAGGAACGAGUCGAUUAUUGUUUCGGGAGAGUCAGGGGCUGGAAAAACCGUGUCAGCGAAGUACGCAAUGAGGUAUUUCGCGACUGUUGGAGGCUCGCAGGCCGAGACCAUGGUAGAGCAGAGAGUGUUAGCCUCUAACCCGAUCAUGGAGGCGAUCGGCAAUGCCAAGACGACGAGGAAUGACAACAGCAGUCGGUUCGGGAAAUACCUGGAAAUCACCUUCAACAAACAACAUGAGAUUGUCGGCGCACAUAUGAGGACAUACCUCCUAGAGAAGUCAAGAGUUGUGUUCCAAGCUUCUGAUGAACGAAAUUACCACGUGUUCUAUCAACUGUGUGCGUCCGCUAACCGACCCGAAUUUAAGAAGUUCCAGCUAAUGAGCCCUGAUGACUUUUUCUACACGAGCUGCGGACAAGCUCCGGAAAUUCAGGGAGUGAACGAUGCUGAGAAUAUGAACAAUACUUUGGACGCCCUGACGUUACUAGGUGUUGGCGAGAGACACCAGCUGAUGCUGUUACAAAUUCUGGCUGGAAUUCUACAUUUUGGAAAUGUUAAAAUUACGGAGACUGAAGGAGAAUGCUGUGAAAUUCCAGCGAAGGACAAGUCCCUGGCCACCUGCUGUUCACUACUGGGGAUAGAGGAGUCACAGAUGAGGAUGUGGCUAUGUCACAAAAAGAUUACCACUGUCAACGAGGUGCUCACUAAACCUCUCACCGCCAGCCAGGCGAGUUUUGCACAGGACGCCCUGGCCAAGCAUAUCUACGCCGAGGUGUUCACAUGGAUUGUAAACAAGAUCAACAUCACGCUGCACAGCGUCACCAAGCAGCACAAGUUUAUUGGUGUUCUUGACAUUUACGGAUUUGAAACCUUUGAAAUCAACAGUUUUGAGCAGUUUUGUAUUAAUUAUGCCAAUGAGAAACUUCAACAGAUUUUUAACAGCCACGUGUUCAAACUGGAGCAGGAGGAGUAUGUACGGGAGGGUAUCGAGUGGUCGUUUAUUGAUUUCUAUGACAACCAGCCCUGUAUUGAUCUGAUCGAAAGUAAGCUGGGAAUCCUGGAUCUGUUGGAUGAGGAAUGUAAGAUGCCACGUGGGUCUGACGCUAACUGGUGUCAGAAGUUGUACAGUAAACACCUUGGUAAAGCUAAACACUUCGACAAACCACGCAUGUCUAACAUAGCGUUCAUCAUCGCCCACUUCGCCGACAAAGUCCAGUACUUUGCUGACGGAUUCCUGGAGAAAAACCGAGACACAGUAUUAGAGGAACACAUCAAUAUUCUCAAAGCCAGUGAGUUCGAACUGGUAGCUGAGCUGUUUGAUCAUAAAGACCCGAAUUUAAAAAAGCCUAGAUCAGGAUCCGCCGCGACCCAUCCCACACGUUCAGUACCAAAGACAGGGGCCAAGUCGAACCGCAGCACGGUCGGAUCACAGCAACAACAGAAGGCAACAGUGGGAGAUCAGUUCCGAGACUCCCUGAAGAUGUUGAUGGAGACCCUGAAUGCCACGACACCUCAUUACAUCCGCUGUAUCAAACCUAACGAUAAUAAAGAGGCCUUCACGUUUGAGCCUAACAGAGCAGUGGAACAACUUCGGGCCUGUGGUGUGUUGGAGACGAUACGCAUCAGUGCUGCUGGUUACCCUUCAAGGUGGACUUAUAACGAGUUCUUCCAGAGAUACCGGGUCCUGGCCAGAUCCAAGGAUAUCAAUCGGUCCAACCCCAGACAGACGUGUGAAAACAUCCUUACGAAAAUCAUACAGGAUCGAGAUAAAUACAGGUUUGGUAAAACGAAAAUCUUCUUCCGGGCCGGCCAAGUGGCGUAUCUUGAGAAGCUACGAUCAGAGAAGCUCCGAGCCUGUGGUAUCAUGAUCCAGAAACACGUUAAGGGCUGGUUAGCACGACGACGGUACAAGAAGAUCAUGCGGUCUAUAAAACUGAUACAGAAACACGGCCGAGGAGUGCUGGCGAGAAGACAUGCUAAGUUUCUACGGGAGACAAGGGCUGCCACUAAGAUCCAGAAAACAUUUAAGGGUUUCAAGGCUCGCAAAACCUUUAUGUUCAAGAAACGUGCUGUAGUAAAGCUACAGGCAUGUAUCCGAGGGUUGUUUGGAAGACGGCAGUACCAGAAACAGAUGCACGAGUACCGAGCCAUCGUCAUCCAGAAAUACAUUCGCGGCUGGUUACAGCGGCGAAGAUACCAUAAGAUCAUCCAUGGCUUCGUCUUGAUUCAGUCCCAUUACCGGCGACGCAAGGCAAGAGCCCAGCUUAAAGUUCUCAAGAUCGAGGCAAAGUCUGUGGACCAUCUCAAGGGAGUCAACAUAGGUCUGGAAAACAAGAUCAUAGAACUACAACAGAAACUGGACAACAGGAAAAAGGAAGUCCAGCAAGGGAAGGUCAAGGACGCCGAGAUCGUUAACAUGAAAACUGAGAUGGAGAAACUCCGUCAGAACAGUAACAUGGCUGAGAAAUCAACCAACCGUAUCACCGAGUUACUGAAGCUGAUAGAGGAACUCCAGGAGGAGUUAGCCAAGGAGAAGGGCGAGAAACAGGACCUGUUGGCGGAGAAAGACCUCACGCACAAGAAACACGCCGAGUCGACAAAGAUGUUGAUGGAUGAGAAUAUGUCCGUUAAGGAACAGUUAGACAAGGCAAACGAACAGAUUCGUAACCAGGAGAAACAGUCGGCAGACACUAGUAAGGAAAAACUGGACACCGCAAAUAAGAUCAUGAUGGCGGAGUUUGAGUCGGAGCGUGCUCACCACCAACGUCUCGUCAAGGACUAUGCACGGCUCCAACAGCGCCUAGAAAACCUCCAGGGUGAAAUGCAGGUCCUGACAAGUCCACAGGGACACAAACGCACACCCUCUGAAAUCUCCGCCAUCAGUCUCGAGUCAUAUGCCAGCUCGAUCUCGCCAGAGGAUAAGGAUGAUUUUGAGAAGGAGUCUGAUCAGGGUUAUGACACCACAGAAAAGAAGAAAAAGAAGGGUCCCGCUCCAGCCCCACCCUUUAUCAGCGUCGACACCGUCGCCAACGGAACUCAUGUGGAGAAGGACGUGGACAUUGGUCUUGUCCUGAAGCUGCAGAGCCGUAUCAAGGACCUGGAGAAGGACAAGGACAACCUACAGCAGAAAGUGGACAACUUUGAGGACGGUGGGAGUCCAGCACACCGAUCCUCAGCUGUUAUCUCUGAUUCUGCAUUUGAUGCUCUCAAGAAACAGCUGGUGAACGCGGAGGAUGUAGAAAUUGUCAUUAAGUUACAAAAACGUAUCAGGGAAUUAGAAAACGCAAAAUCUAAGCUUGUCGAUGAAUUAGAUGAACGCGAGGAAGAGGACGAGAAUAUGAGUUUCAAAAUAAUGACUCCUGAAUACGCAUAUAAUAAUUUGAAGAUGCAAGAGCUAGAAAAUGAAAAUGAUAAAUUAAAACGUGAAGUAUCAAAACUGGUGGCCUCCAUCGCAGAAACGACAAACUUUGAUCAAACCGUGGAACUGACUCCUGCUGGCAAAGAGUUCUUGGAACAAGAUUUAAACACAGACCGAAUCAAAGUGUUACAAAAGCAAUUUGAAGCGAUGACAGAUGAGUUGGAGCGUCGCCGUGAAGAGUGUCUUCAGCUACGUGCCAUGAUGGCUGAACGCAGUAUUACUACGCAUGAGAUUGCCAAGCAAUCGUACGGCGGGAUAGACAGUAUUGUCAACGAGGACAACGAACUAGCCAUGGCUUACAGGACCCAGAAGGAGCUGAACAGAUUGUUGGAAAACCAGUUACAAAAGACAGAGAAAGAAGGAAAGAAAAAGGAAGAGGGAUAUAAAAAGGAGAUCCGACACUUAAAGAAAGAUAACGAUGAACAACAGAAAAUGAUAACUCAGCGUAAAAAAUCACAUAACAUCUCCCUGUCUCCGGAGGCUAGGAUCGAGGCUACGAUGCAGCAUGAGAUCACCCGACUCACGUCGGAGAAUCUGGAUCUACGAGAGACGAUAGAAAAGAACUCUGACCAAACGCGAAAGCUGAAGAAAAUGCUGAAGGUGUAUGCCAGGCGUCUGAAGGAUGGCGAGGCUGCCGAGAUUGCUGCAGAACUGGAGCAGGAUGACGCCAAAGCAAGCGUGGACAACGUCGCAACAAUCAAACACAGGGAACGCAUGUACAUGGGCAUGCUGGAGUAUAAAAAGGAAGACGAAAACGUACUCAUCAAAAACCUUAUCAUGGACCUGAAGCCCAAAGUUGCCGGCGGGUUGUUACCCGGUCUACCUGCCUAUAUACUGUUCAUGUGUGUACGACACACAGACUAUAUCAACGACGACGAAAAGGUCCGCGCCCUCCUCACCAACUCCAUCAACAGUGUGAGGAAGUGUGUCAAGAAACAUCAUGGUGACCUUGACCGUGUGACCUUGUGGCUGGCCAAUACCUGUCGUCUGCUACACACACUCAAACAGUACAGCGGGGAGAAGGCGUUCCAGUCGGACAACAACACACGUCAGAACGAACACUGCCUUAGGAACUUUGACCUGUCGGAAUAUCGUCAGGUGUUCAGUGACCUGGCAGUGUGGAUCUACCAGACCUUAAUAAAACUGAUGGAGGAAACGAUACAGCCCAUGAUUGUGGCUGCGGUGCUAGAACACGAGGCUAUUGCGGGUCUCACGGCCAGUAAACCGUCGGGGAUGCGAGGACGAUCGUCCAGUACUGCCACCGAUCCAGACAAUGUAAAGGAACUCUCCCUCGACUCUCUCAUGAAGGCUAUGAACAAGUACAGUCAAGUAUUAACUCAGCAUGCUGUUGAUCCGGAGCUUGUUAAGCAGAUCUUCAGACAGUUGUACUACUUUAUAUGUGCGGGCGCCCUUAACAACCUGUUGCUAAGGAAGGAUAUGUGUAACUGGUCCAAGGGCAUGCAGAUCCGGUACAACCUUAGUCACCUGGAGCAGUGGCUACGCGACAACAAACUACACGAAGUGGGCGCUCAGGUUACCAUGGAACCUAUCAUCCAGGCGUCCCAGCUCCUACAGGCCAGAAAAACCGUCGCCGACGUCGACAGUAUCUGUGAGAUGUGUUCCAAACUCACAACCGCACAGAUUGUGAAGAUCCUGAACCUCUACACUCCAGUAGAUGAAUUCGAGGAACGUGUGCCAAUUCCAUUCAUCCGUGAAAUUCAGAAAAAGUUGAAAAAUCGACCACAAGAAUCGGACAAUACACUCCUUAUGGACACCAAAUUCUCGUACCCAGUUACAUUCCCAUUCAACCCGUCAAGCAUCACCAUGGAAACCGUGGAAGUUCCUCAAUCACUCCAUCUAGGUUUCCUGACUCGCGUGUGAUUUUAGUCAACUUAGUCUCUUAAUCUAAUUUAUUGGACAGAUUUGUCAUACGUUUAUGUUUUAUUUUAUGUGUACCGUUUCGUAGGUUAGAAAAACCGACACUUCCUGUGAAAGUGUUUUCUUCCUUAUUUUUUGUUUGUUAUCAUGUAGAAAUUAAGGAUACAUUUCAAGAAAAGUCCUUAAAAAUCAGUAGAAAAUACAUUCAUCCUUUUGAAAUCUGUUUACUGUGAAAUCUGACUUUACUGACAUCAAAAGAAGGACAAGGGAACACUUAGUUCCUGGUUUAAAUCAAUGUCGUAUUUUUCCACUUCUUACAGUUUGAAUCUGAGGCUGAUUAAUUUAACCCACUCACCCCUGAAGACACAUGUGAACUCUUCCAUUCAAAGGUUGGAAUAGUUCAUUAUGAAAUUAUAGGGGUGAAUGAGUUGAAUCCCAGAACAUAAAUAUUUGAGUUUUAAUCCGAGUAAUUAUGGAAAUAUCCCUGAUUUAAAUUUUACGUAAAUGUGCCAUUGAGUCAACUCAUCUUGAUCAAACAAAUUUAUUCUGGUUUUCACAGGUUUCUGUAUACACAUUUAGUUUGUCUUAGGCAGGAAACACCGGAAAAUGUAAAUAAACAUUUGCCCUGUUAUGUUAUUGGGUUAUUGUUAAACAUCCUUGCUUUAUAGAAUAGAAAUUGGCAUUAUCUUACGAAAGUGGUAAAUACAAUAGGAUGUUCCAUACUACUGUUCUAUAAUUUGUUAGCUGUACAAUUUCUUGACUUUGUCCAUAAACGUUAUAGUUGCUGUCGUGUCAAACAGUUCUACGUUAUGUUUUAAAUAUAUGUACAUAAAAUGUUGUUCUACAUGUACGGAAAUUAAAAUAUAUAAUACACGUAAAAUCUAUGUUGAUGUUAAAUUAUUACUGUUAUAUUGAGGACUGUUCCAAAAAGAGAUAUUGACGGGGAAGGGAGGCUCUUUCAGAACCAUUAGACCCGGCUACACAUAAAUAUCAAAAGUAUUUACUGCCUCCCUCCUACCUGUAUAUGUUCAUAUCUGAAGUAGCCUUGUAAGUGCUGUACAGUGCUGACCCGUAAUAAAAACUGUAGUUCCUUACCGUAUUUGCUGUAAUGAGCAUAUUUCCUCUUAUAUAUGUCCCCUUCCUUUUUUGGGUACCUUGAAAUAAUGUCGGUGCCCCUUCCCCAAACACAGCUUCCAUUCUGGUCCUUUGCUGUUAAAGAAAAUUGUACUAUAUGCACUUUAUAUCAGAUAAUUCAGUCUCACAAUCUGACAAGACCGUUUUCAAAAAAAAAAAUAUGGAAAAAUCUAUUUUGGAAUUAUUGCUGAGAUAUGUGUGACAGUCAUGUAACACUGAGAAGCACCUGCCACAAUCUGUGUUUAUUAUCGUAAUAAGUGCCCCCUCCUGUCAAUUUUUCCAGCACCCUUAUUGCUAAUUAUGGCAAAUAUGGUAAGCAAAAUCAUUAAAUCUCUUUGUAUGAUAUUACAGUGUAAUUAUUUAUCUGGAUCAGUAACAUGUUUGACAGGAGCAGGGCUUCUUUUUCUAUACAUAUAGUAAACAUUUAUAGCCAUGUACGAUUGUAUAUAAGGUACAAGGGAUCUCAAACUAAAGUGAUUCUAGGAAAUGUUUAUGAUAAUGUUUUACAUAUACCACUACAUAAUGUAUACUUGCUAAUUUUUGUGAGUAUUAGAAUAACAAGUUGUCAUCUAAUACAGUUUUUCACAAGUUUUUAAUUUGAAACGGGUACAAAUACAUGUGCUAAUUUCAUUAUCAGGCUCACAAGGUUUUUCAAGUUCAUACAUUUUUGAAUUGUAACACAUUUGCAAAGUAAGCGAAAAUUAACUUCUAACAAAAAUAGCAAAUAUUUAGUAUUGAAGUGGAAAUAUAACAGAGGUAUAUACAUGUAUCUGGAGUAUAACGGCCUUUUCUGAAUAUCAAAACACUGUGUUUCUCAACGUGCACUCUUUACAUGUGGUGUUGCUAUAUCUUGGGUUGUGAAGUUUUCUUGGAUAAGCUCCAAUGUGAUGAGUGAUUUACAUGCAGUGAGAUAUUUGAAAUGUAACUGAAAAAUGAUGUUAAUUCAUUGUAUGAAUUUUGAUUUCGUCCAUCUAUUAAUUAAUUAUGUUAAUUGUUAAUAAUUCAUUAGUAUAUUAAUGAUGGUUUUAAACUGUCAUGUUGUCAAAUUAUCAACUGGUAUACAUCCAUGCUUUUCACUGAUCAAAACUUACAUUAAGUCUCAGUUGUCUCCCCUUAAUUGUUUCUCGUGGCAUUUGUGCUAUCGGAAGUUCACCAUGUUGUAUUUUCUUAAUAAAACAAAUUAUUAAAGACAAACUAGAUCGAUUUUGGUAAAAUUAACUUCCAAUAUGCAGUGUCUUAGAAGACAGUUUGGUCUCGUUUCUUUCUCUAUAACUCAUUCGCCCCUGAAGACACAUUUAAACCCUUCCAGUUCAAAGAUUGGAAUAAUAGUUCAUUAUGAAAUUUCAGGGGGGAAUGAGUUAAAAAAAUGUCCAAAAGCAAUCAAAAAGUUUUACAGUCCUGUAAUUUCACUGGGAACAAAGUAGGCAUGCAGGAUUACCAUGACUCAGGUGUAAGAAAUUUUCGCCACUGUUUAAUUUUUGCAAUUUUUGUGCUUCGCAAUGAGAGCGAAUUUUUCAUAACCGUGAAUACAGCAUACCAUAUAUAAUUGUUACAUUACAUAAAGGUGAAAUUCACACUGAGCGAGCGUGGAUUUUACCAGUAAAGGGCAAAUAUUUGUCUUGGCGAAAAUUUUCCUGUAACAGUACAUAUUAACUUAAUAAACAUGCGUUCUGUAGCUGUGAUAAUUAUCAGGGGAAGUGAUAUUGAUGCUGUGUGCUUUGUUUUGGAUCAAACCAACAAUCCCAGACUUCCUAGUCGGAAGUUCUACCACUGAGCUAAAGGGAAAUUCCCUCUAGCUUGAAGCUAGAAAGCGACCGUUAUCCUAUGUACAAUUAAAACCUGCCAAACUACUCCCCCUUUUUAAAUGUGUUCGUCAUCGGUUCUAACUCCCUGUCACCACAGGGAGGGACACGGACAACAUUUGAACCAGGAAGAGAAUAGUGUGCUUCCACCGGGGAUGGAAUCCACAAUCUCUAGGUUCCUAGUCGGACACUCUACCACGGAGCUAAAGGGAAAUUCCCUCUAGCGUGAAGCUAGGAGACUGUAAUUCUAGGUACAAUUAAAAUCUGCCAUAGUUGAAUACUACAAUUUUCCUCACACCUAUUUCCCCUCUGUUAGAUAUUCAUGAUGUGUUUGUGUGUCUGUUUUAGUUUGUUUACAAUUAGUCAAACGGACACUGCCUACAAUAUGAUUAUCAAGGGAGUUAAAAUAAUUCGAUGUACAAGGGAAAUUAAUGUUGAUUUAUUCCGAUAUGAAACAUACCAUGUAUUGUUAUACAAGUGCUGACAUCAGACUUUACUUUUUACAAAUAUAUAUGUAUAAAGUUAAGCAUUUUAUUUUGGCUUUUGAUAGUUAUUUUUGUCAAUUAAUUGCUGUUGAGGUGUAUUUUUUAUACAGAAGAAAUUCUCCAUGUAACACAAAACACUUUAGGAUAAAUAAAGUAAACAAAUGAAAUUUAUCCUUUGCAUUCCAAAAAUGUUCACUUAAAAAGAAAAAAAAAGGGGGGGGGGGGUCAUGCUGAGUAUUGAUCACUUGUUCAGUUUACACAGGAAUAGUUGUUUGUAUGAUUUAUGAUGCAGUGAAUAUUAAAUAAAUUCCUUGUAAAUAAGUACAAAAAUGUAAAUAAAUACCGAAAUUUUAUAAAAUCUACAAAACACAGCAAUGAAUUAUAUUUAAGUUUCAAGUACCCUAGUAUGACCUUUUAUUCAUAUCUAAGCAGAAAAUGGUGAAAACUCAUUUUUUGAAAACUAUGGCUACAGUUUAGAAAUCUACAAACUUUUUCCAUUUUACAAGGUUUAAACUUACUUAAUGUUUAUGGAGGCAUGAUAAAUAUUUAUGUAUCCCAUUCUUGGCUUAAUUUAUUUUUUAUAUAUCUUUUUAUAACUUUGCACUAUUUGCAUUUUCUAUCGCUUCUGUGAAGACUUAAUUAUUUUGGUAUCAAAUUAUUUUGAUAUGAAUGUAAAUGAUUGUUGAUUUUCAAAUGGACCAACCAUAAAUUUAAAACAGGAUGUCUUCCACUAAUUAAGUGGCAUUAUCAAAAUAACUUGUGAAUUGUUUUUUGCGCUAUAUAGAUGUCUUGAUAGUUCUAUUACAUUGUAAAACCUGUUUAAAUUGAACCCCACUGACACCUGUCUAAACUGAACUCCACUGAAACCUGUCUAAAAUGAACCCCACUGACACCUGUCUAAACUGAACUCCACUGAAACCUGUCUAAACUGAACCCUACUGACACCUGUCUAAACUGAACUCCACUGAAAUCUGUCUAAACUGAACUCCACUGAAACCUUUCAAAAUUGAACCCAACAGGACCGUGAUGAAACUGAAUUCCAUUCAUAAAAGAAACGUUUAUUGAUACAACAGGUUUACAUAUAUCUAUACAUCAGAACCAAUUAAGCUGAAAGUUUCCAGAUUACAAAGUUUCAAAUAAGUUGAAACAUACAAAAUGUACUAACUGAAUUAAAGGUCUGGGCCCGUAUUCAUGAUCAAACUCAGAUUCUAUAUGCUUACGUCCCAUUUCUUGUUCCGGUAAUAAAUAAAUUCAAACUUAAUAUUUGGUCUAUGAUUUGGGAGAAUUUUGGAAACAUUUCGAACUGAUAACCGUUUAAAUAACUUUUUUAUCGUUUCAAACGAUUUAAGCGAGUUAUAAGACAGUUGGGUUGAGCACAGACCCUGGUUGGUUUGUAAAGGUUUUUAGAUAGCAACGUUCAGUUUAGGUUGAAAGGUAGAUGCAUACCUAGUUGAAGGUCUGUUUAUACAGUUUCCAGAUUAGAAAGGGCCAAUUUUGGUAGAAGUGUAGUAAUGGACCUGUUUUGAAGGUCUGGUUUAAAAACAUUUCCAGUUCACACUUGUUCAGUUAAGGUAGAAAUGUACAGACUGAAUUGAAAGUCUGGCUUAUACAUAGAAAUGGAAAUGUUAGGACCUGGUCGAAGGUCUUUAUACACAGGUUUUGAAUGACAGAUUCAUGUUUUAUAAAACAGUAUGCACCUACCUAGAUUAGGUCUAUGUAUACAGGGUGUCAAAUUACACAGGGUUCAGUUUAUAUAGGUAACUUACUGUAGUGGGGAGUCUCAAUGCUGUUAGGGUUGUUUAACACUAGUUCACACAUUGCAAUAGUUCUAUAGAAAAAGAAUAUAAAUGUUUACCAUAUAUGUCCUGUAGUAAGCCCAGGGGACCAACACGUAAUCCAUGAUUCAAUGUUUGGGACAGGCUUAUUACAGGAUAGUUAAAUAGCAUAUGUUGGUAUUCUGAACUGCAAUAGAUAUAUGGGUGGGCUUAUUACCAGGCAUGGGCUUAUUGCCGGAUUGAUAUGGUGUUUAUAUCAUCGUUUAUAUAUGAAUUACAAGUUUAAAUAUUCAUGACAUCACAUCACAAUUUGUUUGUAAAUUAUUUUUUGUAGGAAAGUCAUUUGUAAUUAAUAGUUUUAUUUUUAAUUAUCGUGAAUCUGGCUUGUGUUUGAAUGCUUCAGAUUACCUUCAGAUUACCAGCAUCCUGUGUUUGGAGGCCUAUUAUAAAUAUUAUAACUGUUGCUUGACAUUGAUGUUAUCACUGAACAAUGGGUCAGAGAUAAAUAAAUUAGUGUGUCUUUGUUAUGAACAGAGAAAGAUGUCUUGCCAAGUACUCAUUUUUCAUGUUAUGAGAUCCACCGAUUCUUUAAAAAAAGAUCCACCAAAUUGUAUCAGAUUUCUUUUUGAUUUUUUUUCCAUUCAGUUCUAUUGAGGAAAGAUUUUUUUUGGACUUUGUGAUUUUACCCUUCUAAUAAUUGAUUUGGUAAGUAUUUCAUUGCAUGUCUAUAAUAAAUGUAAAUUUCAAUGAUUGCUUGUUAGGUGCAUUAUGUACUGUAAAAUAGCGUAGGGGACAGGCCCGAGGGGAUGUCUACAUUGUUGAAAUAUGUGCCACAAUUUCUAGUAUAGGUUGCUUUGCAUCUAAAUAAGGGUUGCACAAAGUUUUGUGGAAAUGGAUCAUCUAAAAAAGGUCUAAUGUAAAAAAGGAUUGUCUCAAAAUGGCCCUUCUCCUGUAUAAGGUCGGUAGACAAAGUAAAUGGAUGACAUAAAGAAGGGUUGUCUCAAAAUGGCUUAUAUAGAAAGAUGAUCGUCUCAAAAUGGCUUAUAUAGAAAGAUGGUUGUCUAAAAAUUAUUAUAACCCCUUACAAUGUGUUUAGAGAUAUACUUGGAUGAAUGUAAUAGUUUUACAUUAAUACAGCACAUUAGUUAGGAACCCUCCGUUUGUUGACGUGUCUCUCUGUUGUGGGGAACGCUUGUUGAGUUUUCUCUCUGUAUCAUUCCAUGUGAUAGCUGGAACGUUUACUAUUAAAUACAGUAUGUGAUCAGACGUA